rnacentral:rRNA from 1 species
UACGUAGGGACCGAGCGUUGUCCGGAUUCAUUGGGCGUAAAGAGCUCGUAGGCGGCCACUCAAGUCGAAUGUGAAACCUCGAGGCUCAACCUCGAGCCUGCAUUCGAUACUGGGCGGCUAGAGUCUGGUAGGGGGAUCUGGAAUUCCUGGUGUAGCGGUGGAAUGCGCAGAUAUCAGCAGGAACACCCGUGGCGAAGGCGGCUUCCUGGAUCACCCCUGACGCUGAGACGCGAAAGCGUGGGGAGCGAACGGG